CUACUCCAGGUCAGAAUGAUACUUGAGCACUACAGAUGAGAUGAUGCAAAAAAAGGUUUGAAGUAAUAUGCACUACAACACGUCAUCUAUCAGAAAGAGGGAGCAUACCUGAAGCUAUCAGUAGUGCAAAAUUUAUGAGAUGCAAAGUCCUCUCCAUGCUAAAAAAAGGUGUGAAGAGACUAAUGAAAAUUUAAGUGGAGAACUGAACAAAGAUAUCUAUCCGAAUGCAUCAGCAAGCUGAUGAAUGUAAGUCCCAGUCCUGGGCCCACCAGAGUUAAGACUUUGGCUUUUGCAAAUAGCCAGACGUCCUCAGGCACUGUGAUCACAGGACUUUACAAGUGAGGAUCAGUAUGUAAUAGUACAGUGUGAGCAGCAGAACAGAACCAACAAAAGUUCCCCACAGCUUGACCUGAGCAAGGCAACACCUGCUGGAAGCACAGCUCUGGCUGGUCAGGAGAACCCACAACAGCCUCACUCAGAUGUAUUUAAGAAUGGUAGCUGCUGGGUGUGGUGGACACAUGGAUUGUGACACUGCUGAGGAGGAGCUAGCUGAAGGUGCAAACCUGGGAGGAGGCACUUCAUGACAAAUAAGGUAAUUGUAGCUGUGGGUAAAACACACCAGGGCAAGAACAACUCCGAGAGACUGCAUUCCAUAGACAGAAGAAAGAAAUGAUAUUUCCUUUCUUUCAGUCCUCAGGAACAUCUCCUGAUCACCAAGAUCUGCCAAAGAUAUGAAUAGCCUCACAGUGACCCCUCCCAGCACCCUCAGCAUUAAUAAGUGUAUCCCAUUAGGUCUCAUGGAGUUGGAUUUACCCAAUUUGUUUAUGGCUCAAUCCUCAUCCUCCAAGGGGAGUAUUCCUUGCCGUAGACCCUUCCACAGAUCUCAUGGGCCUGGAUUACUGAAGACUGUUUAUACAAGGCAAAGAUCUUGAAUACCUUGUCCUUUUCUGUAUCCUUUGUCACAAAGGCACCACAUUUUUCCCUAGCCUUUUCUUAUUGUUUUUCACAUUUCUCAUCGGAUUUAACUCCAGGCCAGCUUUGGCUUUCCAAACUCCAUACUUGCACAAUCAAGCAAUAUCUUUAUAUGCUACUGUUUCCAGUUCUCCCUGCUUCCACCUCUUGUAUGCACACUUUUUUGCUGGAGUUCUAUCAAGUACUACUUGUUCACCUAUGCAGGUCUCCCAUUACCUUUACUUGAUUUCCUGCUUGUCAGAUUGAACGAUUCUUGAGUGGAUGAAGAAAACAGCUACAGAGAAACAAGCAGAAGCUGUUGUCUGCACAACCCAACUUCCUAAGACACCCUUUGUCUUGCCGUAGGAGCAGAGUGAACUGAGUUUAUUUCCCAGCAAGAAUAAAGGAAAUUGAGACUAGGAAGGGGACAAGAUAGGUGUGAGCUUGAGGAAGGAGGAGAAAGGAUGUGUACUGAUGUGUUAUUUUUUAUGCUUUCUUCAUUUGUUUUUAUAUGUUUGAUGUUGUUUUAUUUUUCUACAAUACCUAGACUAGUGAUCAUAAAUUUCUGUUAAUUGGCAAUAAAUUAAAAUAAGUAAAAAUUUCCCUGCUUUUGCCUAAGGUGAUAACAAGCUUUAUAGUCAAACUUUCAUUUCACUGUACCAUGGAUACCUUUGGGCUUAUUCUGCUUUGAUAAUCUAAGAGGCCUUAAAAUUUUUGUAAACUACAGGUAAACUCACAGUAAGACUCUCUGUACUAUCUGAGUACUAUAAAGAGAACUCUGGUAUGUAGAGGGGGAAUUCCAGCUGAGCUAGCAAGCCUUCAUGAGGCUUUGAAUACAUUAAUACAGUGCUGAGUCAAAGUUGAUUAACUUUGCUGAGCAACAGAUAUGUGGGUUUGAGUUUAGUGCUUUGCUUCUGUAACUGUUCAGCUUCCAAGCUACAUCUGGCUUACGUCUGUUCUGCAGUCCUGGAGCAAAAACACAAAUGACUGCACCCAUCUCUGU
ensembl:lncRNA